rnacentral:rRNA from 1 species
UGCAAGUCGAGCGAGAAGACGUAGCAAUACGUUUGUAAAGCGGCGAACGGGUGAGGAAUACAUGGGUAACCUACCCUCGAGUGGGGAAUAACUAGCCGAAAGGUUAGCUAAUACCGCGUACGCUCUUUGGACUUCGGUUCAGGGAGGAAAGCGAUACCGUGGGUAUCGCGCUCUUGGAUGGGCUCAUGUCCUAUCAGCUUGUUGGUGAGGUAACGGCUCACCAAGGCUUCGACGGGUAGCUGGUCUGAGAGGACGAUCAGCCACACUGGCACUGCGACACGGGCCAGACUCCUACGGGAGGCAGCAGUAAGGAAUAUUGCGCAAUGGGCGAAAGCCUGACGCAGCGACGCCGCGUGGGGGAUGAAGGUCUUCGGAUUGUAAACCCCUUUCGGGAGGGAAGAUGGAAUGGGGUAACCCAUUUGGACGGUACCUCCAGAAGCAGCCACGGCUAACUUCGUGCCAGCAGCCGCGGUAAUACGAAGGUGGCAAGCGUUGUUCGGAUUUACUGGGCGUACAGGGAGCGUAGGCGGUUCGGUAAGCCCUCUGUGAAAUCUCCAGGCUUAACCUGGAACAGUCGGAGGGGACUGCUGGGCUAGAGGACGGGAGAGGAGCGCGGAAUUCC